AAAAGGCUAAGAAAGUGUUCAAGAUGAGAAACCUAACACAAAUAUCUGGUAAAAACUUAAUCUUUGAUAAUAAUUAUCUGUUUCAAAUAUUCCUACUAGAUGAUACAAAUACAAAUCUUCAGGUUGUGGACCAUCAGAAGAAGCUGAAGGGGUAGAGCAGCACCGACCUCAGAAAUUGUUGCUAUGCUAUCUGCCUAUCUGGUCUGGCAGAUACAGAAAAGAUUUCAGCUUUAAAUUCUUUAUCCCACAAAAAUUUCAACACUUCUCUCAAUUCAUUGACCAUACUCAGAGUACCAACAAAAAGACAAACUUUUAGAAAAAAAAUCAAAAUUAUAGAGCCAUAGAAAGAAGAAAAGUGGAGAUGUAGAACAAUUCAGACAUUGUUGCUAUGCUGUCUUGUUCUGCACAAACAAUAAAAAAUCUCAACUUUAACCUCUUUAUUCAUUAAAAUUUAAAAACCAUUCCAAGAUCCAAGUUUUCUCAAAUACUACUAUUAAAUAUAACUAACACUCAAACUCACUUGCAUAUAGACAUAUAUUAUAUAGAAUUCUUGUACUCAGUUGUUUUUGAAUCAUAAAAUACUGAAAACACAUAGGAGGGUGAUUUAACAGGCUUACCCGCCUUCGUUCCAAAUUCUGGGUUCGAUUGGAAAAAAACAUAAAUACAAAAAAGUGCUUAAAAGACUUACAUUUUUUUUCCUGUGUCUAUCACCACCACCUCCAGUUGCACUGCUCUGUCCACUAGCCAAAUCCAAGGUCCCUUUAGAAUUCAAAUUCGCCGGCUGAAAGUCAUGCUUAUCCGGCACACCUCCGGUGACCGACGCCCCCACCUGCCACACCUGAUUCAGCUUCCCCAUCUCCGGCAACGCCAGCGUGGCAAAAAUCUUGAAAACCCCAUCAGAAAACUCACCGCUCUUCUGGGUCACCUCAAAGCUCAACUUAGACUCGGCAAUUGGGCCAUAAGAAGUGAUAUUGUAGGUCUUGACAGCCACUGACCCAUCUGGGUUCUUGAAGCCAAUGAGAGCCUGUGAGCCGACCAUUCCGGUUGCUGUUGGGUUGAUGGCCCAGGCCACCCAGCCGUCGGGCUUGGGCGGCGUUGCAACAAAGGCUAUUGAGAGAGAUGAUUUGGUAGCGUCAUAAGUGUAGUGGAGGUAGGAGUUUAACUGGGGGAGAUCAUUGCAGUGCUGGUAGAUUUUGUUGUUGGUGAAUUUUUGGGAAGUGCAGGUGAGUGAUUGUGAGGGCGAAAGUAAUGAGAGAGAGAAAAGCAGGAGAAUGGAGAGCUGUGUAAGCGCCAUGAAUGGGAGUGAGAGAGAGAGAGAGAGAGAGAGAGAGAGAGAUGGGGGUAAAAAAAGCGUGUAGUUGAAGAGAGUCUUCUUCUUUUGACGAUGAUGAUGAUAUUUUAUGUAGGAGGCAUGUUGGAAAGAUAAUGGUGUUCGAGGACCAGUUAAAGCACAAUGUUUGCGAGUGUUCUGUAUUAUAUAGGAGCAGUAUAUAUUAUUUUUCUUGUAAUUUUGGAAUAUAAAAUUGGGUGUUUUAUUUUGCCAAAAUAAAAUUCGUUAGCUGAUUGGUAGUAAUUGAAUAUCGCGGUCCGUAUCGAAGAUGGGAACGUACGUACAAGUAGGGUAAUGUGGGAAAGCAAGGUGUGAAUGGGGGUGAAAUAUGUAAAGCUGAGAAGAAUUUGGUGGGUUUCCAAUUUCCAUAAAGACAUCAAGGUGUGGGUUGUCAAAACAGAGAGCAAACAUGGUAAAUUUUACAACUUUAUGGAAAUCAAUUGAUGGAUGGGCGACUUGCUUUAUUCAAUUUCAACCCUUUUUUCUUAGAGAUCGUGGCGCCUGAGAGAUGGGUACAUCCUUCGGGUUGAACGGGUUUGACGGAAUUUAUUAACCCAAUCUGAAUUUCAACUCAACCCAAAUCGUAUAAAUUUAUAACCCAAACCAAUUGUAGUAUUUCGGUUUAGUUGGAUUAAUAAAUGGGUUAAUUAUCAAGUUGGUCACUGAAGUGGGUUUAAUGUAUCAAGUUGGUCACUGAACUCAAAACGGUAUCAAGAUGGUCACUGAAGUGGCCAUAAAUAUCAAACAAGUACCUUGAAAUAUGAGUUCAAGCAGUAAAAAUAUUAUUUAUAAAGUUUUACACAUUAUUUUUUAAUGUUACCAAAACCAAGUAAAAUGUAAUGACUUCUAAUAUUUAUGAUAAAAAAAUUAGAUUUUAUCAAGAUUGUUUAUUAUUUAUUUUUAAUUAAAACAAAGAUAUAACUAUAUAAUAAAAUAUAAAUAAUAAAUAAACUUGAUAAAAUAUAAAUAUAUUAUUUUAAAUACUAGAAGUCAUAAACUUUUAGUUGGUUGUGAUAACAUUUAAAAAUAAUGUGUAAAACUUUAUAAAUAAUAUGUUUACUGCUUGAACUCAUAUUUCAAAGUACUUGUUUGAUAUUUAUGACCACUUCGGUGACCAUCUUGAUACCGUUUUAAGUUCAGUGACCAACUUGAUACAUUAAGCUCACUUCAGUGAGCAACUUGAUAAUUAACCCAUUAAUAAAUUAUAUAUAACUAGAACGAAAAGUCUCAAGAUCUUAAAAAUUAAAGAUAGUUCAUAAUCUUCGGUGUCAAAUAGGUCUUCAACAUCCAAUUUUUUACACUAAAAAUUACUUUAACAAUCUUGUCAAAGACAUAAAAUUGAAUUCAAUUAAAAAAAUAAGUAAUAACAAAUAAUGAACAAAUAUAUUCAUGAAUUUAAUUUCAUAUUCUCAUUCAUGUUUGUUUGCUACUUAAAUAGAUAAAUUUAAGGCCAUAAAUACAUUUAUUUAACAAACAAACAAUAUUUAUGUUUGUGUGCUCCUAAACAAUCCAAUUAGUUGAGGAUUUUAAAUUUAAUCUCAUAUUCUUAUUCAUAAAUUUAAUCUCAUAUAUAUUUAAAUAGCAAACAAAAAUUAAUAUAUUAUAGUUAAGGAGCAUACAAAUACAAUAAAACUAAAUGGACUAGGCUAAUAUAUGAUGCGAUGGAUAAAUUAUUACGUUCUCAUAUUUUCCAUCGGGUUGAGUUGGAUCGGUUUAUAAACCCUAAAUCCAUGUCCAACCUAACUAAAUCGGAUUAAUACUUUUCCAAUCCAAUUACUUAUUAGGUUAAAAAAUUUCGGAUUGAAUCAGAUGAAAUAUGUUCGGUUUUGAUCGGGUUGGUCGGUUUCACCCACCCGUACACACCCCUGCUUGACACACACAUAUGCGAGGGCAUGUUAAGUAGUUUUCGUAUGCUAACGAUCUGUGAAGUAGCUUACAGAAUUUUGACCUACGGACAUACAGGACAGCUGCAGAACGGCAAAAGGAGCAAUCAAGCAAAGAAUACUAGGAUGCACUAGGUUUUAAACGUCAUUGCUGCAUUAAAACAAACAUAUGUGGAAUGAUUUUGGUCAGAAUCCCUUGAAUGGUAAAAUACAGAGUGCCAUUAGUACAGAAAAAUCAAAACUGUGCAACACAGAAUAAUAAUUCUUACCUGAACUGUUGCAAGGACAAAGAGUGCAAUUCCAAUAUUUCGGUGACUGCUGUACUUGACCCGUUUAGAUUGACUCCCAAGUUUCAGGCCUGUUCCCCAACCAGCAACCCCAACAGCAUAAGCUGAUACCUGGCAGAACACAUGAAGAUAAAACCACGCAGGAUCUGCUGAUGGGAAAACGCUCAUAUACCUAGCAAUGAUGAUUCCGAGUGGAAAUAAUAUACCCCAACUCACAGCAUUAAGAACUCCAUGAAUCUGAAACAAAAGAAUGAGAUGUCUCUCAGAUACCUAUAAAUAACUUUAUUCCAGGAUAUGAUGUGUGAAAAGGCUAAAAAAGUGUUCAAGUUGAGAAACCUAACACAAAUAUCUGGUAAAAACUAAUCUUUGAUAAUAAUUAUCUAUUUCAUAAAAUCCUACUAGAUGAUACAAAUACACGAUCACUUAUAUCUUUAUAACAACAUAAAGAUUAUUAACAGUUUAUUCAGUUACUUCUUGCUCCGAAAAUAAUCCCGACAAUGGCAUUAAAACAAAAACUUUUAACUAAGCCUUAAGCUGAAACUAAUUCUUCGAUUCGUAGUUGGUAAAUAAACACAAAACUUUAUUUCUAGAAUCAGUUCUCUGAUUUCUUUGGACUAUAAUACCGAAAUAUAUAAAUAAUAUAUUUAUAUAUGAAUCCCUAAAAUAUUACUAAUAAAUUUAAUUUCCUUGACCACUGUGGCACUGUCCACACUCCCCAGAGCACAGUACAAAUUGAUAAGUUGAAGAUGCAAAUUUUCAGGUUGUGGACCAUCAGAAGAAGCUGAAGGGGUAGAGCAGCACAGACUUCAGAAAUUGUUGCUAUGCUAUCUGCCUAUCUGGUCUGGCAGAUACAGAAAAGAUUUCAGCUUUAAAUUCUUUAUCCCACAAAAAAUUUAACACUUCUCUCAAUUCAUUGACCAUACUCAUAGUACCAACAAAAAAGACAAACUUUUAGAAAAAAAAUCAAAAUUAUAGAGCCAUAGAAAGAAGAAAAGUGGAGAUGUAGAACAAUUCAGACAUUGUUGCUAUGCUGUCUUGUUCUG
rnacentral:lncRNA from 1 species